UACGUAGGUGGCAAGCGUUGUCCGGAUUUAUUGGGCGUAAAGCGAGCGCAGGCGGUUUCUUAAGUCUGAUGUGAAAGCCCCCGGCUUAACCGGGGAGGGUCAUUGGAAACUGGGAGACUUGAGUGCAGAAGAGGAGAGUGGAAUUCCAUGUGUAGCGGUGAAAUGCGGAGAUAUAUGGAGGAACACCAGUGGCGAAGGCGAAUCUCUGGUUUGUAACUGACGCUGAGGCUCGAAAGCGUGGGGAGCGAACAGG
rnacentral:rRNA from 1 species